GUCCGCUCGAGAUUCAAAUCCCGGUCCAUUCGCGAGGAGACGAAUCCUACCCAACAUAAACCUCCCCGCACUCGAUAGGGAGGCGGCACGCCGACGACCAUGGCCGCCUCCAUCUCCUUCGCUCUCUCUCACUCUUCUCUCCGCUCUCUGUCCUUGAUCUCUCUGCUCCGCCUCCCUCCAUCUCUCCACUCCCACAAACCCGUCCUCGUUCUCCGAAACCCUAGCUCUCGGUCGCCGGUGGCUUCCAUGAGCGUCGAAGCUCCCAAAAUGUCCCCCGAUGCCUCUUUCUUGGAUCGGAAGGCGUCCGGCCUUCUCCAUUUCGUCAAAUACCAUGGUCUUGGAAACGAUUUCAUCAUGGUCGAUAAUAGGGAUUCCUUGGAGCUUAGGGUUACUCCCGAGCAGGCCGUGAAGCUCUGCAAUCGGAAUUUUGGGAUCGGUGCUGAUGGUGUAAUCUUUGCAAUGCCGGGGGUCAAUGGCACCGAUUACUCCAUGAGGAUCUUCAACUCGGAUGGCAGCGAGCCUGAGAUGUGCGGUAAUGGAGUACGCUGCUUUGCUCGAUUUAUUGCUGAGCUUGAAAACCUACAUGGGAUGGAAAGUUUUAAAAUUCACACUGGUGCCGGUUUAAUUGUUCCAGAAAUCCAAAAUGAUGGGAAGGUGAAAGUGGAUAUGGGUGAGCCUAUACUUACAGCACAAGAUAUUCCCACUAAACUUCCAGCAGACAAGAGUGGAGCUGUCAUCCAAGCUGAAUUGGUGGUUGAUGGCAUACCAUGGAAUGUAACCUGUGUUAGUAUGGGAAAUCCUCAUUGCAUAACUUUUGGCACUAAAGCAUGUGAGGCUUUGGAGGUGGAUGACUUAAAACUUGGAGAUAUUGGUCCAAAAUUUGAGCACCAUGAGAUGUUCCCCUCUCGUACUAAUACAGAAUUUGUGCAAGUCUUCUCUCGUUCACAUCUAAAAAUGCGUGUAUGGGAACGUGGUGCAGGAGCAACUCUAGCCUGUGGGACUGGAGCUUGUGCAGUUGUUGUCGCAGCAGUUCUAGAGCGCCACACUGAAAGGACAUGCAUUGUUGAUUUGCCUGGUGGGCCACUGGAGAUUGAGUGGAGGGAGGAAGACAACCAUGUUUACAUGACAGGCCCUGCAGAGGCAGUGUUUUAUGGAUCUGUGCCCCUUUAGCUCAGCAAUUUGGAUUAGUUUCUAAGACGUUUGCUUCAAGAAGAGAUGAUAAUGAGUCCAAUUGAAAGAAAUGCUUAUCAAAUGUUUUCGUAUUAAGAACCAACAGGAGGGAACAAAAGUAAAAGCUGCAGUUCAAAUAAAAUGUUUGGUUAAGAUUCAAAGCAUUGUCUGGUGGCUGAUUCCAAUGGUCUACUUGGAUAUGCUCGGCAAAUUUUGUGUCCUCUAGUUCGAAUUACUGUGGCCUGGUCUUUCCGAACAUCUCAGGCAUGCGAUCGACUUGUUGGCAGACACCAUACUUUGGUGUCAAAACUUGUGGUUGUGUCAGAACAGCAAUCUUUACUCCUUUCGUGGUACAAAUUAUUGUCCUUAGGAUUAUGUUGUGUGAUGUAAUUGCACGAUUUAUGUUUUGCAUGCCAUCUUUUGAGCA